CACGUAGGGUCCGAGCGUUGUCCGGAAUUACUGGGCGUAAAGCGCGCGCAGGCGGUCCAUUCAGUCGCUGGUGAAAGCCCCACGCUCAACGUGGGAAGGUCCGGCGAGACGGGUGGACUGGAGGCAGGGAGAGGUCGGUGGAAUUCCGGGUGUAGUGGUGAAAUGCGUAGAGAUCCGGAGGGACACCAGAGGCGAAGGCGGCCGACUGGACCUGACCUGACGCUGAGGCGCGAAGGCGUGGGGAGCGAACGGG
rnacentral:rRNA from 1 species